UACGUAGGGAGCAAGCGUUAUCCGGAUUUACUGGGUGUAAAGGGCGCGUAGGCGGGAUGGCAAGUCAGAUGUGAAAUCCAAGGGCUCAACCCUUGAACUGCAUUUGAAACUGUCGUUCUUGAGUACUGGAGAGGUUGACGGAAUUCCUAGUGUAGCGGUGAAAUGCGUAGAUAUUAGGAGGAACACCAGUGGCGAAGGCGGUCAACUGGACAGCAACUGACGCUGAGGCGCGAAAGCGUGGGGAGCAAACAGG
rnacentral:rRNA from 1 species